UACGAAGGGGGCUAGCGUUGUUCGGAAUUACUGGGCGUAAAGGGUGCGUAGGCGGGUCUUUUAAGUCAGGGGUGAAAUCUGGAGCUCAACUCCAGAACUGCCUUUGAUACUGAAGAUCUUGAGUUCGGGAGAGGUGAGUGGAACUGCGAGUGUAGAGGUGAAAUUCGUAGAUAUUCGCAAGAACACCAGUGGCGAAGGCGGCUCACUGGCCCGAUACUGACGCUGAGGCACGAAAGCGUGGGGAGCAAACAGGG
rnacentral:rRNA from 1 species